ensembl:lncRNA
UACCAUAUGUUCAGCAAUUCAACUUUUGGAUAUAUACCCAAAAGAUCUGAAAACAGAGACUCAAACUGAUACUUGUACACCAAGGCUUGUUAGCAGCCUUAUUCAUGUAGCCAAAAAGUGGAUGAGUUUGAGCAGACUCUAGGAGACAGUGAAGGACAGGGAAGCCUGGUAUGCUUCAGUCCAUGGGGUCGCAGAGUUGGACAUGACUGAGCGAUUGAACAACAAAAGGUAGAAACAACCCAAAUGUCCACUGAUGGAUGAAUAAGUAAAAUGUGAUAUAGGCAUACAAUGGAAUGUUAUUCAGCCUUGAAAAGGAACGAAAUUCUGAAACAUGCUACAACAUGGAUGAACCUUGAAGACACUGGGCUAAGUCAGACAAAAAGAUAAAUACAGUAUGAUUCCACUUACAUGAGAUACCUGCUGCUGCUACUGCUGCUAAGUCGCUUCAGUCGUGUCCGACUCUGUGUGACCCCAUAGACAGCAGCCCACGAGGCUCCGCUAUCCCUGGGAUUCUCCACGCAAGAGCACUGGAGUGGGUUGCCAUUUCCUUCUCCAGUGCAUGAAGGAGAAAAAUGAAAGUGAAGUCACUCAGUCAUGUUCGACUCUAGGAACCCCAUGGACUGCAGCCUACCAGGCUCCUCUGUCCAUGGGAUUUUCCAGGCAAGAGUACUGGAGUGGGGUGCCAUUGCCUUCUCCAUAUGAGAUACCUAGAUAUGAGAUACCUAGAAUAGUUAAAUUCACAGAGACUGAAAGAAUGGUGGUUUCCAAGGACUGGUGGGUAGAACAAAUGGGGAGUGAUUGUUUAAUAGAUGGAGAGUUUGGGAAGAAGGAAAAGUUUUGGAGAUGGAUGAUGGUGAUGGUUUUACAACAAUGGAAAUGCACAUAAAGCCAUUGAACUGUAUACUUUAAAAAUGGUUAAAAGGAAAGACUUUGUUUUCAUAUAUUUUACCACAAUAAAAGAAAUUAAUGUGUGCUCUGGUGAAAGUGUCUCACUUUUUAGAAGAAUGACCUCUAGACAAGCAGAACCUGGAGUUAUCCAAGUGAAUAACUGGGAGCAAUGAUGGUAAGGGGCUGCUCAUAUUUCCCACCUUGGUUCCUGAACCCAUAUGAUACCUAUUGGGAAUAGAGCACUGGUAAUGAUAUUGACAGGGUAUAUCAUGUGUCCUGGCAGUUGGCAUCUCAUCAUUACAGGGUAUCAUCUCCAAGCUGGUACCUCAGCUGCACCUUCAGAAGACCAUUUCAUCACUCUCAGAGCAGCAUCUUCAGAUGGUGCAGCAGGUGACAGGUCCAGUGGACCCAUGGUCAUGUGCCUGCUGCCGCACUUGCUGUGCUCUAAAAUGGGCCCCUUGGGCUGCCAUCACCAGGAGAAGGACAUGCUGCAGAGAACCAUUGACCUUCCAGCAGGGAUCUUAGGAUGGGACAGUUAGAGCAGAGACAGUGUCAUCCCAGGUGUUCCACAGCCUGAAGCAGAGUGAUCUGCUUACUCAGCUGAUCUCUGUAAGCUAGA